UCUGCCGGAAGUUACUCUGCUUGGCGGCUGCUUGGUCAUGCCGUCCGGAGUCAAGUACUACGGCAGCUACUGCUGCGCUGCGUGGUGCAACAACAACGGCAGGACAGGGAGAGAGCGUGGUACUAAGUGGUUCAGGAUUCCGCGAGACGACAGCCCAGUCUACCAGUCCAUUUGUGGCAUGUGAGAGCUUUGUUGACAUGAGGUCUGACCCGGAGAUCCUUCAUUCAUGACUGCAGUGAACCUUUCCCACCUUAUGGUUCACAGGGUCAAGGUAACAUUUCUCGUUUUCUGAUGGUAGCUGUCAAGUUGCAUAGUGCUAAUCCAACUUGUCCAUAAGUGCAUGUAGUGCUUGAUCAUGCUGCCAGUAGGCACGGUGUGGCAGAUGCAGUGAAUGCAAUUGCGUAAGAAGUAUCCCUUACCUUAAACCACUGUUUCAGAGCUGCUCAUAAGUCUGGUCUUUACUAAUUCACAUCUGAACUAGG